rnacentral:rRNA from 1 species
AAGUGGAGCAAUCCAUGAGUAAAGUGGCGCACGGGUGAGUAACACGUGAAUUAUCUACCUCCGAGUGGGGAAUAACUGAGAGAAAUCUUAGCUAAUACCGCAUAACACUUACGAGUCAAAGCAGCAAUGCGCUUGGAGAGGAGUUCGCGGCAGAUUAGUUAGUUGGCGGGGUAAUGGCCCACCAAGACGAUGAUCUGUAUCCGGCCUGAGAGGGCGCACGGACACACUGGAACUGAAACACGGUCCAGACUCCUACGGGAGGCAGCAGUGGGGAAUUUUGCGCAAUGGGGGAAACCCUGACGCAGCAACGCCGCGUGGAGGAUGAAAUAUCUUGGUAUGUAAACUCCUUUCGAUGGGGAAGAUUAUGACGGUACCCAUAGAAGAAGCCCCGGCUAACUUCGUGCCAGCAGCCGCGGUAAUACGAGGGGGGCAAGCGUUGUUCGGAAUUAUUGGGCGUAAAGGGUGCGUAGGCGGUUUGGCAAGUCUUAUGUGAAAUCUUCGGGCUCAACUCGAAGUCUGCAUGAGAAACUGCCGGGCUUGAGUAUGGGAGAGGUGAGUGGAAUUUCCGGUGUAGCGGUGAAAUGCGUAGAUAUCGGAAGGAACACCUGUGGCGAAAGCGGCUCACUGGACCAUAACUGACGCUGAGGCACGAAAGCUAGGGGAGCAAACAGGAUUAGAUACCCUGGUAGUCCUAGCCCUAAACGAUGAUUGCUUG